CGCUCUUKGUUUUUAUAGAGAGUUUUGCCUGCCCGGUGAAUUUAAUUUAUUAACGGCAGUAAUUUAAAUUACUUUAAAGUAGCGUAAUCAUUGCCCUUUAAUUGGGGGAAGGAAUGAAUGGCUGGACGAGAGCUUAACUGUUUCAAUUUUAUUUAUUAAAAUUUUUUUGAAGGUUAAAAUUCCUAAGUACUUUUAUUAGACGAGAAGACCCUAUUGAGUUUAAAUAAGCAAUUUGUUUAGCAAAAUGUAAAUGUUUAGUUGGGAAAUCGGAGUAUGAUUGGUAUUAUACUUUUAUUUUUAAAUAUAAGGAUCCAUUGAGAAUAUGAAGAAAGAACAAGCUACCAUAGGGAUAACAGCGUUAUCUUUUUUGAAAGUUCUUAUUAAAGGAAAGGAUUGCGACCUCGAUGUUGAAUCAAGAUACCCUUAAGGUUGUAGAAGCUUUAAAGGGUUGGUCUGUUCGACCAUUAAAAUCUU
rnacentral:rRNA from 1 species